AGAGUUUGAUCAUGGCUCAGAUUGAACGCUGGCGGCAGGCCUAACACAUACAAGUCGAGCGCGAAAGGCUUUCGGGCUGAGUAGAGCGGCGGACGGGUGAGUAACGCGUAGGAAUCUACCUGGUAGUGGGGGACAACUUGGGGAAACUCAAGCUAAUACCGCAUACGCCCUAUGGGGGAAAGCGGGGGACCUUCGGGCCUCGCGCUAUCAGAUGAGCCUGCGUAGGAUUAGCUUGUUGGUGAGGUAAAGGCUCACCAAGGCGACGAUCCUUAGCUGGUCUGAGAGGAUGAUCAGCCACACUGGGACUGAGACACGGCCCAGACUCCUACGGGAGGCAGCAGUGGGGAAUAUUGCGCAAUGGGGGCAACCCUGACGCAGCCAUGCCGCGUGUGUGAAGAAGGCCUUCGGGUUGUAAAGCACUUUAAGUGGGGAGAAAAGGGUAGCGGUUAAUAGCCGUUACCUGUGAUGUUACCCACAGAAUAAGCACCGGCUAACUCCGUGCCAGCAGCCGCGGUAAUACGGAGGGUGCGAGCGUUAAUCGGAAUUACUGGGCGUAAAGCGCGCGUAGGCGGUUUGUUAAGUCAGCUGUGAAAGCCCCGGGCUCAACUUGGGAACUGCAGUUGAUACUGGCCGACUAGAGUACGAGAGAGGGAGGUAGAAUUCCAUGUGUAGCGGUGAAAUGCGUAGAUAUAUGGAGGAAUACCGGUGGCGAAGGCGGCCUCCUGGCUCGAUACUGACGCUGAGGUGCGAAAGCGUGGGGAUCAAACAGGAUUAGAUACCCUGGUAGUCCACGCCGUAAACGAUGUCUACUAGCCGUUGGGAGACUUGAUUUCUUAGUGGCGCAGCUAACGCAAUAAGUAGACCGCCUGGGGAGUACGGCCGCAAGGUUAAAACUCAAAUGAAUUGACGGGGGCCCGCACAAGCGGUGGAGCAUGUGGUUUAAUUCGAUGCAACGCGAAGAACCUUACCAGGUCUUGACAUCCAGAGAACUUGGCAGAGAUGCCUUGGUGCCUUCGGGAGCUCUGAGACAGGUGCUGCAUGGCUGUCGUCAGCUCGUGUCGUGAGAUGUUGGGUUAAGUCCCGUAACGAGCGCAACCCUUGUCCUUAGUUGCCAGCACGUAAUGGUGGGAACUCUAAGGAGACUGCCGGUGACAAACCGGAGGAAGGUGGGGACGACGUCAAGUCAUCAUGGCCCUUUCGACUGGGCUACACACGUGCUACAAUGGAACGCACAGAGGGCAGCAAAGGCGCGAGCUGGAGCCAAUCCCACAAAACGUUUCGUAGUCCGGAUCGGAGUCUGCAACUCGACUCCGUGAAGUCGGAAUCGCUAGUAAUCGUGGAUCAGAAUGCCGCGGUGAACACGUUCCCGGGCCUUGUACACACCGCCCGUCACACCAUGGGAGUGGGUUGCUCCAGAAGUGGUUAGCCUAACCUUCGGGGGGGCGAUCACCACGGAGUGGUUCAUGACUGGGGUGAAG
rnacentral:rRNA from 1 species